rnacentral:rRNA from 1 species
GACGAACGCUGGCGGCGUGCUUAACACAUGCAAGUCGAACGGAAAGGCCCUGCUUUUGUGGGGUGCUCGAGUGGCGAACGGGUGAGUAACACGUGAGUAACCUGCCCUUGACUUUGGGAUAACUUCAGGAAACUGGGGCUAAUACCGGAUAGGAGCUCCUGCUGCAUGGUGGGGGUUGGAAAGUUUCGGCGGUUGGGGAUGGACUCGCGGCUUAUCAGCUUGUUGGUGGGGUAGUGGCUUACCAAGGCUUUGACGGGUAGCCGGCCUGAGAGGGUGACCGGCCACAUUGGGACUGAGAUACGGCCCAGACUCCUACGGGAGGCAGCAGUGGGGAAUCUUGCACAGUGGGCGGAAGCCUGAUGCAGCAUCUCCGCGUGCGGGAUGACGGCCUUCGGGUUGUGAACCGCUUUCGCGUGUGACGAAGCGUGAGUGACGGUAAUGGGUAAAGAAGCACCGGCUAACUACGUG